rnacentral:rRNA from 1 species
AAGGGCACCACCAGGAGUGGAGCCUGCGGCUUAAUUUGACUCAACACGGGAAACUCACCCGGCCCGGACACCGUAAGGAUUGACAGAUUGAGAGCUCUUUCUUGAUUCGGUGGUUGGUGGUGCAUGGCCGUUCUUAGUUGGUGGAGCGAUUUGUCUGGUUUAUUCCGAUAACGAACGAGACUCUGGCCUACUAAAUAGUGACAGGAUUAUUACUGUCUUGGAUACUUCUUAGAGGGACAAGUGGUUUUCAGCCACACGAAAUUGAGCAAUAACAGGUCUGUGAUGCCCUUAGAUGUCCGGGGCUGCACGCGCGCUACACUGAAGGAAUCAGCGUGCUGAAACCAUUGUCGAAAGGCAUUGGUAAACCCAUUAAAAUCCUACGUGAUUGGGAUCGGGAAUUGCAAUUAUUUCCCUUGAACGAGGAAUUCCCAGUAAGUGUGGGUCAUAAGCUCGCGUUGAUUACGUCCCUGCCCUUUGUACACACCGCCCGUCGCUGCCCGGGACUGAGCCGUUUCGAGA